rnacentral:lncRNA from 1 species
GCUAUUGGAAAGUGGAAGGAAGUAUCUCAUUCCACAGCGGCACUAGGCAGAAGUGGGCAGGAGGGAUGUUGACCCUGCCAGGGCUCCUAAACCCUCUCUACCAGCAGACUACCACCACGUAUUAACCCCUUCCCAUCUCCAGUCAUUUGCUGCACUAAUUCAGGAGAAAGUUCGGACAACCCGAAACAGCAGGAGAGGCUCACUUUGGAGAGAUGGAAUAGAGAAGAGUGUGCGCUCUGGCACACACACGUGCACACACACAUUCUUGUAUGAAUUGACAAAGGCACCACUGCCCUCUACUGGCGACUGUGGCAUCUUUUCCCAGUGUCAGAGACAGCCUGGAGCCUCCGUUGCUUCAGAAAAUAACUUGAAUACUUACUGCAGGCAGUCCCAGCCUGUCAUCCCAACAAGAGCUAAACAAGAUGACUGAGAAGUAAUGGCUUCCUCUGGUAUUGGGUCAUAUUCAUAAUUACAGAAGACAGUGUUUCAAUUCAUCUGCUGCUGUGUAACAAACAACUCCAAAACUUAGUGGCUUCAAACAACAGUAAUGUAUUAUUUUUCACAAUUCUGUGAGUCAAAAAUUUGGGCAGGACUCAGCGGGCAGUUCUUCUGACCAUGAGAUGUCAUCUGGGGUCAUUGACUUGGCUGCAUUCCACUGACAAGUGGACGGGGGGAAAAGUCCAAGACGACCUCAGUCACGCAUCUGGAGCUCGGUGCUCUCCGUGUGGCCUCUCCAUGUGGCCACCUCACGCUUCCCCAUAGUAUGUGGGCUUGGGCUAGCUGGACUUCUUACAUCCUCGCUGGCUUCCAAAGAGAGAGGAAGAAGAA